rnacentral:rRNA from 1 species
GACGAACGCUGGCGGCGUGCCUAAUACAUGCAAGUAGGACGCAGUUGCGAACGGGUGAGUAACGCGUCGGUAACUGCCUAUUAGAGGGGGAUAAAUAUUGGAAACGAUAGCUAAUACCGCAUACUAGUAGAUGGACCUGCGUUGUAUUAGCUAGUAGGUAGGGUAAUGGCCUACCUAGGCGACGAUACAUAGCCGGCCUGAGAGGGUGAGCGGUCACAUGGUGAAUGGGACACGGCCCAGAAUCCUACGGUAGGCAGCAGUAGGGAAUUGUCGGAAAUGGGGGGAACCCUGACCGAGCAACGCCGCGGUAGUGAAGAAGGUUUUCUGAUCGGAAAGCUCGGGUGUUAAGGAAGCGGUACUUAACCAGAAAGGGACGGCUAACUACGUGCCAGCAGCCGCGGUAAUUC